UCUGACAUGAACUCUGUUCUAUUGACGUGGCCGUGUAUGCCACGUAGAAGUGUGAAAUAGUUAAGGGACAAAAGAGUCCCCACGCCAAAAACGACACCAUUCGAGUCCCUUUCACGCUCUUCUUUUUGCUUUUCUACCUUUCCUUUAAACCCAUUUGACCACAAUACAAUUGCAGAAACUCCAUAACAAAGAUCAAAACUGAAAAGUCACAGUAAUACUUUGUUUCUCCCUCCAAAAAGAAAGUCACAGAUUCUUCCUUGUUGCGUGGUGGUGAAGUCGUCGAAGGAGAAGGUGAAGGGAUUGCAUUGUUUAGUUGCCAUCUCUCUUGGUCUACAAAGAUGGAUGAUUACUAUGUGAUUCUAGUUUUCCAUCAUGGGGGUAAUUUUAUUAGAAGAGGUGGUGAUGAGUUUGUUUAUGUGCAUGGUAAGGUAGAAAAGUUUUCGAAAGAUGGACAUUGAUUUUAUCAACUUCCGGGACUUGAUAACCUUGUUCAAGGGCUUAGGAUAUCAAUCAUACAAGGCUGUCUACUAAUAUUCUAUUUACAAUUUGUAUGUAAUUGUGAUCUGAAUUUUACAUUGAUUGUUAAAGGGGUAUUCUAUAUUAUUAAAGUGGUACUUUAUAUUAUUCUA